UACGUAGGGUGCGAGCGUUGUCCGGAAUUACUGGGCGUAAAGAGCUCGUAGGCGGUUUGUCGCAUCGGCUGUGAAAACCUGGGGCUCAACCCCGGGCCUGCAGCCGAUACGGGCAAACUAGAAUUCGGUAGGGGAGACUGGAAUUCCUGGUGUAGCGGUGAAAUGCGCAGAUAUCAGGAGGAACACCGGUGGCGAAGGCGGGUCUCUGGGCCGAUAUUGACGCUGAGGAGCGAAAGCGUGGGGAGCGAACAGG
rnacentral:rRNA from 1 species